rnacentral:rRNA from 1 species
CAGUAGCCACGGUAAUACGGAGGGUGCAAGCGUUAAUCGGAAUUACUGGGCGUAAAGCGCACGCAGGCGGUCUGACAAGUCAGAUGUGAAAUCCCCGGGCUUAACCUGGGAACUGCAUUUGAAACUGUCAGGCUGGAGUCUUGUAGAGGGGGGUGGAAUUCCAGGUGUAGCGGUGAAAUGCGUAGAGAUCUGGAGGAAUACCGGUGGCGAAGGCGGCCCCCUGGACAAAGACUGACGCUCAGGUGCGAAAGCGUGGGGAGCAAACAGGAUUAGAUACCCGAGUAGUCACUGUCUCUUAUAA